ACCUCAUGAUCCGCCUGCCUCAGCCUCCCAAAGUGCUGGGAUUACAGGAGUGAGCCACUGUGCCCGGCUGGAAGUGCCUCUUCUUUGCCAUCUUAGCUUGAAGCCUGGUGCUUCUGCAGCAGGCACAGAUGCCCUUUCACUCUCCUGACUGCUUUUCUCUCUCUUGGGUUCCACUGCUGUCCAAAAUUCUGUCUCUGUUUAACGCAGGGUCCGCAGAUGACUGUCCCACCACCAAUUUUAUAAACAUUGGCAUGAAGCUAUGACCACGAUUUGCACACUGUCUGGGCUCUUUGCCAGCACACAGUGACUUGUGGCCCUUUGAGCCUGAUUAUUUACUGUCUGACCUUGUGUAGAAGUUUACCACCUGAUCGAAGAUACCAGGAGCUUCUGCUUGUCCCCUGAUCCCUUCCAGUCCUAAGUACGAUUUGUUAAUUAUGCCUCUUCAGCUUGUGUGGAUGUGCACAGGAAAUGAGUCACGCAUUUCAUGCAGGGAAUUGAAUCUUGCUGGUAACAGUGAGAGUCCCUCCUCGGGGCCAUUGGGGCAUUGCUCCACAGGCCCAGCCGGAACCUUUGGAAGCCCUCGGAACACAUGGCUGUGUUGCCAGAAUAUCCUAAGGAACCGAGAGUCUGCUCUGUAUUUGCAAACCAUACUGUCAGGAAUGCUUUACGGCGUUGAUGUGUUAAACACUGCUUUGUGACGGUAUUGAGGAAGCAGUUGUCUGAGGAGUCCUUGCCUGUCUGUGACGGUAGCACACUGUCACCUCGAGGUCUGCCCCAGCAGCUGUUUGCUGAGGAGAAGGCAGCACUGUGAUAUCCGUGCUCCUGAGGGCUGAGCUACACGGCCCUCCAGAGCUCCUGUACCUCCUUCCUGGUCCUUCUGAGGCGCAUGCAAAGCCAGGCGUGGGCCAGCGCCCGUGGUUACGCUGUGGCCUCAGUCACAUUGUAGCUUCACAUGCCACAGAACCUGCGGCAGGGCUGGCUACAUUCUGUGUCCCCUCCAGUUCCUCAGAGACCCAUGCUUGUGUGACGAUGAGGAGGGAUAAAUAGGACCAGAGAGCCAGCCACAAAACCGUCCAGAGACCAUGAGUCCGAUCUGUAGACAGAAAAGUUUUUAAAAGGGACUUCAAUAUGCCAAAAAAGUAAACAGUAGUUUUUUAUGAGUAGUUAAAUUGCAGGUGAAUUUAACCGUGUACUUGCUGUCUACUGUGUACAGUAUGUCUUCUUUUCAUGUACCACUAAGAGAAG